CCUACGGGAGGCAGCAGUGGGGGAUAUUGCACAAUGGGGGCAACCCUGAUGCAGCGACGCCGCGUGAAGGAAGAAGGCUUUCGGGUUGUAAACUUCUUUUCUCAGGGACGAAGACAGUGACGGUACCUGACGAAUAAGCCACGGCUAACUACGUGCCAGCAGCCGCGGUAAUACGUAGGUGGCAAGCGUUAUCCGGAGUUAUUGGGUGUAAAGGGCGUGUAGGCGGGAGCGCAAGUCAGAUGUGAAAACUCAGGGCUCAACCCUGGAACUGCAUUUGAAACUGUGUUUCUUGAGUGCUGGAGAGGCAGGUAGAAUUCCGGGUGUAGCGGUGAAAUGCGUAGAGAUACGGAGGAACACCAGUGGCGAAGGCGGACUGCUGGACAUUAACUGACGCUGAGGCGCGAAAGCGUGGGGAGCAAACAGGAUUAGAUACCCGAGUAGUC
rnacentral:rRNA from 1 species